AUCACCUCAACACCAACACCACCACCACCACCACCGUCAUCAUCACCAUCAUCACCACCAUCACCAUCACAACCAUCACCAUCACCUCAACACCAACACCAUCAUCACCACCAUCACCAUCACAACCAUCACCAUCACCUCAACACCAACACCAUCACCACCAUCACCAUCACAACCAUCACCAUCACCUCAACACCAACACCAUCAUCACCACCAUCAUUG
rnacentral:lncRNA from 1 species